UUCAACUGAAGAGUUUGAUCAUGGCUCAGAUUGAACGCUGGCGGCAGGCCUAAGACAUGCAAGUCGAGCGAGAAAGCCCUUCGGGGUGAGUAGAGCGGCGGACGGGUGAGUAACGCGUAGGAAUCUACCCAGUAGUGGGGGAUAACUAGUGGAAACGCUAGCUAAUACCGCAUACGCCCUACGGGGGAAAGCGGGGGACCUUCGGGCCUCGUGCUAUUGGAUGAGCCUGCGUAAGAUUAGCUUGUUGGUGAGGUAAUGGCUCACCAAGGCGACGAUCUUUAGCUGGUCUGAGAGGAUGAUCAGCCACACCGGGACUGAGACACGGCCCGGACUCCUACGGGAGGCAGCAGUCGGGAAUAUUGCGCAAUGGGGGAAACCCUGACGCAGCCAUGCCGCGUGUGUGAAGAAGGCCCUAGGGUUGUAAAGCACUUUCAAUUGGGAGGAAAAGCUAAUGGUUAAUAACCAUUAGCCCUGACGUUACCUUUAGAAGAAGCACCGGCUAACUCCGUGCCAGCAGCCGCGGUAAUACGGAGGGUGCAAGCGUUAAUCGGAAUUACUGGGCGUAAAGCGCGCGUAGGCGGUUUUUUAAGUCGGAUGUGAAAGCCCCGGGCUCAACCUGGGAACUGCAUCCGAUACUGGAUGACUAGAAUGCGGGAGAGGGAGGUAGAAUUCCAUGUGUAGCAGUGAAAUGCGUAGAUAUAUGGAGGAAUACCAGUGGCGAAGGCGGCCUCCUGGCUCGACAUUGACGCUGAGGUGCGAAAGCGUGGGGAGCAAACGGGAUUAGAUACCCCGGUAGUCCACGCCGUAAACGAUGUCUACUAGCUGUAGGGGUACUUGAGACCUUUGUAGCGCAGCUAACGCAAUAAGUAGACCGCCUGGGGAGUACGGCCGCAAGGUUAAAACUCAAAUGAAUUGACGGGGGCCCGCACAAGCAGUGGAGCAUGUGGUUUAAUUCGAUGCAACGCGAAGAACCUUACCAGGCCUUGACAUCCCCGGAACUUUCUAGAGAUAGAUUGGUGCCUUCGGGAACCGGGUGACAGGUGCUGCAUGGCUGUCGUCAGCUCGUGUCGUGAGAUGUUGGGUUAAGUCCCGUAACGAGCGCAACCCUUGUCCUUAGUUGCCAGCACAUCAUGGUGGGAACUCUAAGGAGACUGCCGGUGACAAACCGGAGGAAGGUGGGGACGACGUCAAGUCAUCAUGGCCCUUACGGCCUGGGCUACACACGUGCUACAAUGGCUAGGACAGACGGCUGCAAACCAGCGAUGGGGAGCUAAUCCGACAAACCUAGUCGUAGUCCGGAUUGGAGUCUGCAACUCGACUCCAUGAAGUCGGAAUUGCUAGUAAUCGCGAAUCAGAAUGUCGCGGUGAAUACGUUCCCGGGCCUUGUACACACCGCCCGUCACACCAUGGGAGUGGGUUGCUCCAGAAGUGGUUAGUCUAACCUUCGGGAGGACGAUCACCACGGAGUGAUUCAUGACUGGGGUGAAGUCGUAACAAGGUAGCCCUAGGGGAACCUGGGGCUGGAUCACCUCCUUA
rnacentral:rRNA from 1 species